CCUACGGGAGGCAGCAGUGGGGAAUAUUGCACAAUGGGGGAAACCCUGAUGCAGCGACGCCGCGUGAGUGAAGAAGUAUUUCGGUACGUAAAGCUCUAUCAGCAGGGAAGAAAAUGACGGUACCUGACUAAGAAGCCCCGGCUAACUACGUGCCAGCAGCCGCGGUAAUACGUAGGGGGCAAGCGUUAUCCGGAUUUACUGGGUGUAAAGGGAGCGUAGACGGCAGCGCAAGUCUGGAGUGAAAUCCCAUGGCUUAACCAUGGAACUGCUUUGGAAACUGUGCAGCUAGAGUGCAGGAGAGGUAAGCGGAAUUCCUAGUGUAGCGGUGAAAUGCGUAGAUAUUUGGAGGAACACCAGUGGCGAAGGCGGCUUACUGGACUGUAACUGACGUUGAGGCUCGAAAGCGUGGGGAGCAAACAGGAUUAGAUACCCCUGUAGUC
rnacentral:rRNA from 1 species